AGAGUUUGAUCCUGGCUCAGAACGAACGUUGGCGGCGUGCUUAAUACAUGCAAGUCGAGCGAGAAACGGUUCUUCGGAACCGGAGUACAGCGGCGAAAGGGUGAGUAAUACAUAGAUAACGUACCCCUCGGUCCGGGAUAACCCCGCGAAAGCGGAGCUAAUACCGGAUAACGACGGAAGAGGACAUCCUCUUCUGUCCAAAGGUUUGCGAAAGCUUUCCUCCGGAGGAGCGGUCUAUGGCCUAUCAGCUAGUUGGUGGGGUAAUGGCCUACCAAAGCUAAGACGGGUAGCCGGACUGAGAGGUUGAACGGCCACAUGGGAACUGAGACACGGUCCCAACACCUACGGGUGGCAGCAGUAGGGAAUCUUGCGCAAUGGGCGAAAGCCUGACGCAGCGACGCCGCGUGGGGGAUGACGGCCUUCGGGUUGUAAACCCCUUUCAUGUGGGAAGAAUAAUGACUUAACCACAGGAAGAAGCACCGGCUAACUCAGUGCCAGCAGCUGCGGUAAUACUGAGGGUGCAAACGUUGUUCGGAUUCACUGGGCGUAAAGCGCGCGUAGGCGGUUCGGCAAAUCGGUUGUGAAAUCCUCCCGCCUAACGGGAGAAUGGCUGCCGAAAAUACCGGACUGGAGGUCGUCAGGGGCAAGUGGAACUCUUGGUGGAGCGGUGGAAUGCGUAGAUAUCAAGAGGAACGCCGGAGGCGAAAGCGACUUGCUGGGGCGAUUCUGACGCUGAGGCGCGAAAGCUAGGGGAGCAAACAGGAUUAGAUACCCUGGUAGUCCUAGCCGUAAACGAUGCACACUAAGUGGAGGGGGGGUUAACUUCUCUCUGCUGCAGCUAACGCAUUAAGUGUGCCGCCUGGGGAGUACGGCCGCAAGGUUAAAACUCAAAUGAAUUGACGGGGGCUCACACAAGCGGUGGAGCAUGUGGUUUAAUUCGAUGCAACGCGAAGAACCUUACCCGGGCUUGAAGUGCUGGUAGUACGGAUCUGAAAAGUGAAGGACCCUUCGGGGAGCCAGCAUCAGGUGUUGCAUGGCUGUCGUCAGCUCGUGUCGUGAGAUGUUGGGUUAAGUCCCGUAACGAGCGAAACCCUUACGAUUAGUUGCUACUGCAUUUGCAGGCACUCUAGUCGGACUGCCCGUGUCGAAUGGGAGGAAGGUGGGGAUGACGUCAAGUCAUCAUGGCCCUUAUGUCCGGGGCUACACACGUGCUACAAUGGCGCAUACAAAGGGUUGCCAACCCGCGAGGGGGAGCCAAUCCCACAAAGUGCGCCCCAGUUCGGAUUGGAGGCUGCAAUUCGCCUCCAUGAAGUUGGAAUCGCUAGUAAUCGCGGAUCAGCUACGCCGCGGUGAAUAUGUUCCUGAGCCUUGUACACACCGCCCGUCAAGCCACUCAAACAUGCAGUGCCUGAAGCCCGUAGUCCAACCUUCGGGAGGACGCGGUCCAAGGUAAGGUGUGUGAGAAGGGCUAAGUCGUAACAAGGUAACC
rnacentral:rRNA from 1 species